rnacentral:rRNA from 1 species
CCUACGGGAGGCAGCAGUGAGGAAUAUUGGUCAAUGGACGAGAGUCUGAACCAGCCAAGUAGCGUGAAGGAUGACUGCCCUAUGGGUUGUAAACUUCUUUUAUAUGGGAAUAAAACGUUCCACGUGUGGGAUUUUGUAUGUACCAUAUGAAUAAGGAUCGGCUAACUCCGUGCCAGCAGCCGCGGUAAUACGGAGGAUCCGAGCGUUAUCCGGAUUUAUUGGGUUUAAAGGGAGCGUAGGUGGAUUGUUAAGUCUGUUGUGAAAGUUUGCGGCUCAACCGUAAAAUUGCAGUUGAAACUGGCAGUCUUGAGUACAGUAGAGGUGGGCGGAAUUCGUGGUGUAGCGGUGAAAUGCUUAGAUAUCACGAAGAACUCCGAUUGCGAAGGCAGUUCACUGGACUGCAACUGACACUGAGGCUCGAAAGUGUGGGUAUCAAACAGGAUUAGAUACCCUUGUAGUC